rnacentral:lncRNA from 1 species
UUGCACAUGCAUGUUAGAUAGAGAAAAAUUAUAUAAACCCUAACGGUAUUAUUCAAGUUUUAUAGUAUAAGGUAUAGAAGAAUAGUUUAAGAGCAUAAAUACAAUUAUGCUAGUACAUAUAAGUACAUGUCACGUAAUACCAUACUUUCACGUACGCAGUGUGUUAGCAAUUAAUAUUUAGGAUUAAACAUAAUCGAAAAUAACAUUUCUAAAAACACUUACAAGGAAAGAAAAUUCUUGUUUAAUUACCUAUGGAUUAUCAUUACUUGUUGUUACCAAUAUCACAUAGUUUAUUUGGCUUUCAAGUGAAGAAAUUAGUUCACCUAUAACCCCCAUCCCCCACCUUUGUUUUUUCAUCUUUAACUCACUAGGUAGCAAAUCCAUUGCAGUUGUACUCGUACUAAAUUUCUACUGUCAAAAAAUAAAAAAACUCUUUUAAAUAUUGUGUCCGACGAUGGUUGUUUGAAUUAAAUUGGAUUGGUUGGAUCAAGAGUCACUUGGGAUAUUAGUACGAAGAAGGGCAUUAAAUUUUUUAAUAAUUUAUUUAAUCGAACUGGAUGGACUGAUGAACCGAUGACUUUGGUUUUAUGUUAAUAAAGGUUAGUUUCGACCCAUGAUACCUAGCUGUUAUAUCUUGUGGAGAGGGCUUUAUAAUAAUAUGUACCAACAAAGAUUUAAGCAAAGUCAUUUUGCACUGCAGUAGUUGAAUGUGAUCACUUUUCUCCACGAUGUUACUUUUGUUCUCUUAUUAAGUAUAGUGUUGACAAGGCUUUAUCCAGGGCAUUGCAAUUUGCAAUUACAGGUAAUGGUUUCGCUGCAGUCAGACAUGAGUCUGAAAGGUUCUCCUCCCCAACAACGUUACUUUCAGC